CUGAGCCAUUUCUCCAGCCCCCAUAAUUCUAUUUCUAAAGUGUCCUUUUCUUUCGAAAUAUACUUACAUAAAGUGUGGCCUUAACCAAAAAUUUUAAAUCUUGUUCUUCAGCAUUAGUUAUAUUCAAUUACUAUUGUCUUACAUUCAUGAUGUUCUAUCGUUAUUCUUCUGUUAUUCUUCUCUCAUUCAUUACAUCUCAAUUCCCUCCACCAAUUCCAUGCAGCUCUCCCAAUUAUCUCUCCUCUCACCCAGAUCCACACCUUUUCCCAUUAUGUUCAAAAGAGAGAGGGGGAGGAAAGGGACAGGGUAUAGGGAAAGGGGAAAGGGAAAGGGUGAGAGAGGUUACACAAGGAUGUGUCAACCAAACACCAUAAGUUAGCAUCAAAAGUUACGGUAAGACAAAACUGCUUAUUAAGACUGGCCGAAGAAACCAUCAGAGAUUUAAUUACUUCUGGAUGAAGUAAUUGAAAGUAUGCAUUAGGAUGGAUGGUAUAUUUACUUGUUAAAAAUUAUUUUUAAAACUCAUUUGUAAAUUAUUCUGAUGAGUGGAUUUAGAACCACAGCAAUUCGUAAAAGAUGCUGUCUAGAAAAUCCGACUGAUAUAAAACCACAUUAAAGCUGAGAAAGUCCUUUUCCUUUCUGUAUCCUCAACAACAGCAUGUAUCCGAUUGCAGCAAACUGAUCCAGUAAAUAGAAGGUCUACAGGAAAUGAGUUAUAAAAGCGCUGCGCAGUGUGUUGCCCCUCUCUUUCAGACCCUGGCUUCUGGCAAGAGAAAAUAUGGUGAAACUACAAAGACCAGAAAUCCUUUCGGUUUUCAACUUCCCUUGGAGCCAAGCCUGGGAGUGACACCCACUUCAUUCAAUUCCUGUGGUCGUGGGAACACUGGAAAGUGGUUUGUUUUCCCUUUUGUUACAUUCAGGAUUUCUUUGAUUGAAUCUUGUCUUCGCAAUAAUUACUGAUAAUACAAGUCUCGCCUUUAUUUUUUCCGUUAAUCUUGGAAUGCGGCUAAAAGAAGGAAGUGAACGAUUCAGAAUUAAUUGAGGGAUUACAGAAGUCACGAUUCAAUUCAAGACAUCGGGUCGAACACUACAAUCUUUGAAACAUUUGCAGUCGAGAAUUGGAGGGCAGUUAAUAAAUAUGCAAUUUCAUUCUUUUAUCUGCGGCCAUUCCCAUUGAUCAGAAUCAUUUAUUAAAAUUUUUAAAUUUUAUUAAACUAACAGAUAUCACUGUGGGAUUAUAUUGGCUACAUUUCUAAGGAAAAGUGACCCUCGUGCAUCAGGCAGUCAUCAGUGCUAAGGGAGCCCAGCUUUAUAAACUACAGUUGAAUUUGUUUCUGAAUGGGCGGGGAAGGAUUUCAUCUGGAAGCAAUGGGAAGAAAAGGGACUAAAUUUUUCAAAGAAGAAAAAGUAGAUGAAAGUUACCAUGUUGUGACCUGUAAUUUCACAUUGGGAGAGAUAAACGUGGAGUACUUCUCUGAGGACACUUUGGAUUACACUAAUUAGAAGGAACCUUAGGCUGCAGUUUGUGAAUGAAGUAGAGAGUUGGACAUUCUAUCUUUGUGAAUAAUUGAUGGAAUUUUGAUGGGGAAUUGCACUGGAACUGCAGAUCGCUUUUGUAAACUAUAGAAGCGGAUGUCUGUACCAAAGAUGAAAGAUGAGAUUUGAGCUUGAACUUCAUCAAAAUGCAGGUUACAUUGUGAAAACAAGGAAGAGCAGAUCACAGGAGGUAGACACGCAAAAAUAUGAAUCUCAAGAUCAUCCUAAGCAAGUCUAUGAACUGACUGAGUCCAUUUCAAAGGAAAGCUUUGUACAAAUUUGGCAAUUAUUCUACAGGUGAGUAACACUCUUCCUCCAAAUAUUUAAGGUUCUCCUUUCUUUAUGUAAAAGCUUAACCUUCCAUCUAUAUCUUGUUUUUCCAAUUAUAAUUGAUAGAUAAUAUGUUUCAGUACUUCUAAAUUCAAAUGUGAGUUUUUUUUUAAUUUGAUAUAUUUUCUCUAAUUCUCAAUGUCAGCAUAAAAAAAUUGAAAUUUGAAGUCAAUAUACCUAAAUUAUUCUCUGUCACUGGAAUUUAUGAAACUGGUGCUUUAGAGAAGGGGAAAUGUCAGGCUAUGAUUUAAUCAGUGGAGAUCCUUAGGAGUCAGGGUGAUUAUGGAACCUAAGAAAGAAAAAUGUCCCAGACUAUAUAACUUGGCCUGACAGCUCAAUAUCUUUAUACUAUAAUUUAUGUCCAUGUUGUCUCCAAAUAAUAACACAGCUUAUGGACAAAGAGAGAAAUUUAGAUACCCUCACAUGAUUGUGAGAAAAUUGUCAGUCAUUCAUUUUGACAUUUCUUCCUGUAUAGGAUGUUUUUCUUUAUACUGUCAUUAAUUUCCAACCAUAGCUAAGUCUUGGAGAAUGUGGUGCAUAUAAUGAGGUUUUAUAGUUUUGUGUCAGUCCAUCAGGUCUUAUGUUACAGUCCUUGAACCAUUUGCAGUCGAGUUUAAGAUGGUAAUCGAUAAAGAUAUAUUUUCAUUCUUCUAUCUACAGUUUUCCAGGUUAAUAAGAAGCAUUUAGUAUGUUUUUCAUUUUUUUUAAAUGACUGUAUCAAUAUAGGAUUAUACAUUAUUCAUCCUUUCUAUUCAACUGAUCAAUGUAAUAUAUUGUUAUGACAUUUAAGUCGUAUCAUUUUAAAGUAGUAUCAUUGUUGUGUAUGAAGACUAUCAAAUUUUCUGCGUUAAACUCUAAUCCUAUCAACUUUGUGGGUGAAACAGUAACAAGAGAUUUCUAGUUGAAAAUUAAGGAUAACAUAUAUAUAUAUAUAUAUAUGUAUAUAUAUAAAAACAUCAUAUUCAAAUGAAGAUAACUUAACAUUCCCAUCUGUAUCACAUUUUACUUCUUCAACAUUUUUCUAUCGAUAAUUCUUGCAUUCCCUAAUACUGUGAUAAGUAAUGGAAUGAAUUUGUCUUGUUCCAAAGUAUUAUCAUUAAUACAUGUCUCCACUUACUAAAAUUUUGGCUUUUGUUAUAUAUUACCUAUAUUAAGUCAAUAUAUGUUCUCUAUAUCCUUACCAGUGGUAAUAUUUCUGAAAAAAUAAUUUGACACUUGCUCAUCCAGCAGCCAUCGAUGUUAAUUUCAUAUGAUCAAACUAUUGUCUCACUUCAUGAUUGAGAGAAGACGAUGCAUUUACUCACGGUAGGAACUGGAAGCAGGCGCUUAAACAGAAGUGUUGUUGCUGCUUACCAGUUUUCUUCCUGUGGGUAGUUCAGAAUCCUUCCUAAUACACACCAGGAUCACCUAAACAGGGACUAAAUUUUUCAAAGAAGAAAAAGUAGAUGAAAGUUACCAUGUUGUGACCUGUAAUUUCACAUUGGGAUUGAUAAACGUGGAGUACUUCUCUGAGGACACUUUGGAUUACACUAAUUAGAAGGAACCCUAGUCUGCAGUUUGUGAGACUUUAUUCGUUGAAGCCUUGAAGCUGUGAAAGUGGCAACAGCCAGCAAGGAUGCGGCAGUAUUUCUGGCAAGUAAUUGAAUCUAACUCCUUUAGUGAUAACCGUUAACAUUUUUAGAUUGUUCCAGGACACAUGCUAGAUUUCAUUAGGGCUCACGAAUUAGCUCUGCAUAACUGUGGUGAGGGUCUUUCUGAAAGGAAGACAGUUGUCAUCUUUCCUACUGAAUGCAGAAAGUGAUGAGAAGUCAACAUGAAGACAGCCCAUUCCUCUCAAAUUUUCUUUUGUUUUGCAUGGAGGAAAAAACUUUUUCUCCUUAAAGAAACAACUCUUUAAUUGCUCCUCAUAGGGUUAAUAUUAUCGAGGUCUUCAAUGUAUAUCCCAGCACAAAAAAGGGUCUAUUUAUUUCCUUUGUUGAUGUUGAAC
rnacentral:sRNA from 1 species